rnacentral:rRNA from 1 species
AAUUUAAAGUCUAAUCUGCCCACUGAUAAUAUAUUAAAGGGCUGCAGUAUAUUGACUGUACAAAGGUAGCAUAAUCAUUAGCCUUUUAAUUGAAGACUUGUAUGAAAGAUUUGAUGAAAUAUAAACUGUCUCUAAUUUAUGUUUAGAAAUUAAUUUUUUAGUUAAAAAGCUAAAAUGACAUUAAAAGACGAGAAGACCCUAUAGAGUUUUAUAUUUUAUUUAAUUAAUAUUAAAUAUAUAAUUAAAUAUAUUAAUUAAAUAAAUUAUUGUGUUGGGGUGAUAGAAAAAUUUAAUAAACUUUUUUUAAAUUUAAACAUAAAUAAGUGGUUGAUUGAUCCAUUAAUAAUGAUUAAAAGAAAGAAUUACCUUAGGGAUAACAGCGUAAUAUUUUUUUUUAGUACUUAUAAAAAAAAAAGUUUGCGACCUCGAUGUUGGAUUAAGAUAAAAUUUAAAUGCAAAAGUUUAAAGUUUUGAUCUGUUCGAUCAUUAAAAUCUUACAUG